rnacentral:rRNA from 1 species
UAAGCGGAGGAAAAGAAACUACAAGGAUCCCCUAGUACUGCGAGUGAAGCGGGAAAAGCUCAAAUUUAAAUCUGGUNGUCUUUGGCCAUCCGAGUUGUAAUUUAGAGAAGCNUCUUCCGCGCUGGACCGUGCNCNAGUCUCCUGGAAUGGAGCGUCACAGAGGGUGAGANUCCCGUCUUUGGCAUGGACAUACCAGGGCUUUUGUGAUGCGCUCUCGAAGAGUCGAGUUNNUUGGGAAUGCAGCUCAAAAUGGGUGGUGANCUCCAUCUAAAGCUAAAUAUUGGCGAGAGACCGAUAGCGANCAAGUNCCGUNAGGGAAAGAUGAAAAGCNCUUUGGAAAGAGAGUGAANCAGUACGUGAAAUNGUUGAAAGGGAAACGCUUGAAGUCAGUCGCGUCGACCGAGACUCAGCCUNGCCUCGGCU